CUGAAACCGAUGUUGUGUUUUUACUUGAAAGUAUUAAUGGCAAAUCUGAAAGUCCAGACCAUAUGGUAUCUCAGUAUCAGCAAGCUUUGGAAGAAAUAGAAAGGCUGAAAAAACAAUGUAGUGCUUUGCAACAUGUAAAGGCUGAAAGCAGCCAGUGUUCCAAUAAUGAGAGUAAAAGUGAAAUGGAUGAGAUGGCUGUGCAGCUUGAUGAUGUGUUUAGACAACUGGACAAAUGCAGUAUUGAGAGGGACCAGUAUAAAAGUGAGGUUGAAUUGCUGGAAAUGGAAAAGUCACAAAUCCGUUCACAGUGUGAAGAACUCAAAACUGAAGUUGAACAGUUAAAAUCAAAUCAACAGACGGCAACAGAUGUUUCAACAUCAAGUAACAUUGAGGAGUCUGUAAAUUAUAUGGAUGGAGAAAGCAUUUUGCAGCUUUCUUCUGUCUUGAAGAAGUAGAACGGUGCCCGAGAAACGUUUUGCCCCUUCGAGACUCAGGAGGAUGAAAGUCAUC
rnacentral:sRNA from 1 species